AUAACAAUGGCUUUAGUGGCGGACUGGUGAGUAACGCGUGAGCAACCUGCCUACUAGAGGGGAAUAACAGUGAGAAAUCAUUGCUAAUACCGCAUAUGCCAUGAACAUCACAUGAUGAAAAUGGGAAAAGAGUAAUCUGCUAGUAGAUGGGCUCGCGUCUGAUUAGAUAGUUGGUGGGGUAACGGCCUACCAAGUCGACGAUCAGUAGCCGGACUGAGAGGUUGAACGGCCACAUUGGGACUGAGAUACGGCCCAGACUCCUACGGGAGGCAGCAGUCGGGAAUAUUGCGCAAUGGAGGAAACUCUGACGCAGUGACGCCGCGUAUAGGAAGAAGGUUUUCGGAUUGUAAACUAUUGUCGUUAGGGAAGAUACAAGACAGUACCUAAGGAGGAAGCUCCGGCUAACUACGUGCCAGCAGCCGCGGUAAUACGUAGGGAGCAAGCGUUAUCCGGAUUUAUUGGGUGUAAAGGGUGCGUAGACGGGACAACAAGUUAGUUGUGAAAUCCCUCGGCUUAACUGAGGAACUGCAACUAAAACUAUUGUUCUUGAGUGUUGGAGAGGAAAGUGGAAUUCCUAGUGUAGCGGUGAAAUGCGUAGAUAUUAGGAGGAACACCGGUGGCGAAGGCGACUUUCUGGACAAUAACUGACGUUGAGGCACGAAAGUGUGGGGAGCAAACAGGAUUAGAUACCC
rnacentral:rRNA from 1 species